AAAUCAUCCUUCUUAGGCUCUGGGGUAUUGAAUGACCCUCCGUCUCCAGUAGUUUUUUUGUUUCUGUUGUGACAAUAUGUUCCAGACUCCUCUUACCCAGUUGCAAUCGUGGAAUCAGAGGACAAAGCAUGGACCAUAGUGUCUCACGAUUUCCAGGUUAAGAUAACAGUGGUGGGCUGCAACCCAAGAAAAUACUCAGCUCGUUUCCAGCACCUCCAAGUGAGCAGUAUGCCCCCAUUUGCAAGAUGUCCAGGCUGCUGAGCAUCCCAGGUGUGGACUCCCUUGCGCCCUGACUUUCUAGAUGCUCAUCUCUUCAAAGGGCUUUGCGUCACAAG